GUUAACUGACCUCGCUCUCCCGCAGCUUCUGAAUCUUUCCCGCUCAAAGUAAACCUGUUCGGGAUUGGCUCUGAUUGGCAAGCAACAGCUCUAUGAUUGGCUCAUAGGGCAGCGGAGGGGCGGGGCGUGGAAGGUAAGGAAAGAGAGCAGGCCUACCCCGUGGGAGAAGCGGUGGAGGUGGUCGGAAGAUUUGAGAAGUCGCUCAGCAACUGGCUGAUAAUCUAAACCUAUCGCUGCGCACCUUGUGCCAACAUUUCAUUUUUGGCCCUUGGGCCCUUCCCUAACUCCCAGAGUCCUUUGGAACAGCCAAGAGAAUAAUAGACGUGCCCGUUUACAGAAGAACUGCACAAGGAACUAUGGACCCAGCAAAAGGAACAGAGAGAUGCUCAGUAGCUUCUUUCUCCAAAUGCGGGGCCUUCCUUCUUAAGGACGAGAGAACGUCAGAUUGAUAGCUCCACCAAACUGAGAGCUUAUGCCUACUCUCAGCCAGUGUAUUUGGCUUCUGCAGCACCUUGUUCUGCCAGAUAUAUUGUGGAAAUUAUUAUGAUGGUUUUUUCCACUCCAGUGAAGCAGACGUCUGGAUCCCUUUGUGAGCCUCUUGAUCCUUAUUCCUUACCACCCCCACCAAUAUGCAACCAAAGUCUUGUUGGCUCAAUGAAUCUAUAUGGUCUCAUUUUAUAGAAUCCCCAAAGAAGAGAAAUAUGGCUGUGUUUUCCAGAAUGUUAAUUGAUAACAGUUCUUGGCAACAGUACUCUUCCUGGCUUUCCCUCUUUAACCUACUCCUUCCACCCAUAAUAAUAGCAUCAUUCCUGAGUAGAUUGGCACCAGUCUGGAGUUUCUCUCUCUCUCUCUCUCUCUGUCUCUCUCUGUCUCUUUCUCACCUCUCUCUCUCCCUCUCUCUUUCUGUCUCUCCUCUCUUCCCCCAGCCCCACCCAUAGGCCCUUCAUUCCUUUUUUCCUUGCUCUACUGAUUAUACCUGGACUAUUUAACUUUCUAAUAUGAGCUGGUUUGUUGCACACUCUCUGAAAAUUGUAAUGAUGUGAAUAUUAAUAAUUAGAAGAGGCCUCACUGAGAGGUGUUAUUCCCGAUUUCAACCAUACUUCAUUGUCAAAGUUAAGGAGAGGUCUUGCAUCUCUGUUCACUUAAGAACUGUCUCCUCUACUCAGUUAUCUUUAGAUUCUGUAGUUGAGUCGAGUUUAGACUCUGGGCUGCGAGUGGGAAGAGGCAGGAACUGUUUCACGUAGGUAAACCCUACACAAAUCUGGCUUUUCCUGUCUAGCUCAUCUUAAAUAUGGGGCAUCAAGAGGGAAAUCUAUCAGGAGGUUUCUGUUGGAAAGUAAGCUGGGGGAUCAAGUGGCCUAGUGUUUUAUUCCAGCUUUUCUCCAGAUGAUCUCCAGAUUUCUGGCCUUUACCUUCUCUGGGCUUCAAUUUCCUCAUCUGUAAAAUAAAGGGUGUGAUAAAUCACCCUGUAACAUUCCUUCCAACUCUAAAUUGUUCUGGUUCAAAAUGUUGAAAAUUUCAAGUUAGUAUAACCAUAGAAUUAAAGUUGUU